UAUUUCUGUAACUGCUGAUCUCCUCAUUGUACCGGUGAAGGGGAGGGGGGUGCAGCAUGUUUGUGUUGUUUGGAGGCAGGCAAAACAAUGGAUUAUUUACUAAGUCAUGUAAAAAGUGGGCUAAUUUAGAAGAAAACAACUUGGGUAAACAUUGAUGCGCAUUUACAUUUUGUGUAUUUAUUUAGCAGACACUCUUAAAGGCGCUUUGACUAUGCGCGAAAGUGCUGCAAGCGGUUAGCUUAGCUUAGCUUAGCUUAGUUUACUUCAGUCCAAGUCUCUGGUUUAGUUUAGCGACUCAUUUCUGUACUACUUUACCUACAACAACUAAACAAUAUGUUUUUCAUGUUUAAUCUAUGAAUUGUUGAAAGUGGUGUGUUUUGAGAACUCUAUGCUGCACUGAAACUAACUUUGAUGAGAAACACAUCAAUGAGGAGGAGCAAGAGGAUGAAGAUGACGAUGAUGGUGCAGCGUAUAUAAAAAAAAACUCAUCAGGAGGUGUAAUAUGAAAUAACAGCGGGAAUCUCAACAGAGGAGGCUGUGUAGCGGAUCAUGGGGAGGUUUUUGCAGCUCCCUUGGCUAAAGAUGAACUGGCCGGAAGGAUUUUAAGGCCAAUGUGAGGCCAGAGACUAUUUAGCAGAAGAGAUGAGUCACUUCUAUUUAAAUGAAUGGGAGAAAUUGGAUGAAGUCAAUGGAUGUAGAAAGGAAGUCCCGCCUUGCAGGUACAGUAAUUAAAAACUCCCAAACCAAGAAUUCAUGGGAUGAAGAUGUGGAAAGACUUGUUGCACAAUGAUCAUGAAUAGCUCCCGAUAGAGGUGGUGGAAGGAGAAAAUGAGCAAAGGCCAAUGCACGGUAAUUUACUUAAAAAAGUAUUCAUGAUCAGUUUAAUUCAAACAAAUGGUUUAAAUUAUUUAAAUAUGUUAAGUUUUCUCAGUAUUAAAUGAAUUUAAUAAAUGCAAAAGACAAUAACUGCUUUGCCUUUUACCAAACUGUAUUGUUUGAAACAUUAAUUUUGUUUAGACAUGCUACAUUUAAGUACAUACACCUCAUUUAAGUUUAAAUAUUUCACAUAUAUUCUGAAGUCAUAAUAUGUACUUUAUAAGAUUACUCAAGUCAGUUAAUUGAUUUAGUUAUUACUCAAUUUAGAGAUUACUUAAUUCAAACAAUGUGAGUUGAAAAAUUGUCUUUCAUGCACAUGUACAGUAUAU